rnacentral:rRNA from 1 species
GACGAACGCUGGCGGCGUGCCUAAUACAUGCAAGUAGAACGCUGAAGAGAGGAGCUUGCUCUUCUUGGAUGAGUUGCGAACGGGUGAGUAACGCGUAGGUAACCUGCCUUGUAGCGGGGGAUAACUAUUGGAAACGAUAGCUAAUACCGCAUAACAAUGGAUGACACAUGUCAUUUAUUUGAAAGGGGCAAUUGCUCCACUACAAGAUGGACCUGCGUUGUAUUAGCUAGUAGGUGAGGUAAUGGCUCACCUAGGCGACGAUACAUAGCCGACCUGAGAGGGUGAUCGGCCACACUGGGACUGAGACACGGCCCAGACUCCUACGGGAGGCAGCAGUAGGGAAUCUUCGGCAAUGGGGGCAACCCUGACCGAGCAACGCCGCGUGAGUGAAGAAGGUUGUCGGAUCGUAAAGCUCUGUUGUAAGUCAAGAACGGGUGUGAGAGUGGAAAGUUCACACUGUGGCGGUAGCUUACCAGAAAGGGACGGCUAACUACGUG